rnacentral:rRNA from 1 species
UUAUUUGAGAGUUUGAUCCUGGCUCAGGAUGAACGCUGGCGGCGUGCCUAACACAUGCAAGUUGAGCGAUUUACUUCGGUAAAGAGCGGCGGACGGGUGAGUAACGCGUGGGUAACCUACCCUGUACACACGGAUAACAUACCGAAAGGUAUGCUAAUACGGGAUAAUAUAUUUGAGAGGCAUCUCUUAAAUAUCAAAGGUGAGCCAGUACAGGAUGGACCCGCGUCUGAUUAGCUAGUUGGUAAGGUAACGGCUUACCAAGGCGACGAUCAGUAGCCGACCUGAGAGGGUGAUCGGCCACAUUGGAACUGAGACACGGUCCAAACUCCUACGGGAGGCAGCAGUGGGGAAUAUUGCACAAUGGGCGAAAGCCUGAUGCAGCAACGCCGCGUGAGUGAUGAAGGCCUUCGGGUCGUAAAACUCUGUCCUCAAGGAAGAUAAUGACGGUACUUGAGGAGGAAGCCCCGGCUAACUACGUGCCAGCAGCCGCGGUAAUACGUAGGGGGCUAGCGUUAUCCGGAUUUACUGGGCGUAAAGGGUGCGUAGGCGGUCUUUCAAGUCAGGAGUGAAAGGCUACGGCUCAACCGUAGUAAGCUCUUGAAACUGGGAGACUUGAGUGCAGGAGAGG